AAUGAGACUGAAAGACCAACCUGAGAUGGCAAAGCGACAGUGAAAACUAGCAAGUCUUUGAAAUUUAGGCGCAGCCCAGGACAGCCUGAGGCCCAGGCUAGCUUAAGUCACAGAUACAGGCCUAGUGAGCAAUGGGGAGAAACUGAGGCGGGGGGGAGCGGCUGGAUUCCCAAAUAGGACCAAGCAUAAAACAUUAAAGUCAAGACACAAACCGGCUUUGCUGGGGGACCAGAGGGAGGGCCAAAAACGCAAGACUCAGAAGACCGGCACCCACACAGACAGGGGGAACCGGUUUGGGCAGGGGCUCCCAGAGCGGCCCAGCCUGCGCAUGCGCCCUCUCCCCUCCGUCGCAGUUCCCCCUCCCCCCAAUCACGGCUCCCCUCAGAACUCGGCCCGUCGAGGGAGCUGAGAGCAGCUCCACUGGCCCGACCCCGCGGGAUGAGAAGACAGCUUGGCUCCCCGCAGGGGCCGUCGGAAAAUACCCCUGGGGUCUGCGACCAUGACGAGCGACCCUAUUGGCCCAAUACCGGGAAGCGAGGCGGAGCUUCCUCUUCUCCGAGCCCCACCUGGGCUUUCAGCCCGCCUCAGGACUGUGCGCCUGCGCGAAGUGCACUGGCUGUGAGCUGGACCUGGGCUGUCUUGUGUAUUUGGAGUUGGACAGCCAACUACGUGACUGCAGCCGGGACUGGGGACGAUGGAAGCGGACUGGGUAGUACCUGUUGAGCCUAACAAAGGGUACAACCCCAGAGUACUGGUGCUUGAGCAAGGAAUCCCCCUGCUCACCUUUCAUGUGCAAGUCCUGUUUGAAAAUCAGUACUUCACAGUGUAAUAAAAUUCACCUGGCAUUUACUGAGGG
rnacentral:lncRNA from 1 species